rnacentral:lncRNA from 1 species
AUAGUGGGGAAGCCCAGCACUUACAAAUCGGAAAAGCAGCUGGAUAUACACAGGACCACUCAACACCAAGAUAGGAGGCUGUCACCAAGUAACCAACUGUAAAGAAAGUCACUCUUUGUAAACAGGCUGUGAAAUCACAGACUCCUGAGUAGAUAAGACUUUCCACCCAGCUGCGCUGGGAGCAUGCCACGAGCACGCCCAGAACCAUGGGGCAUAGAUUGAUGCUCAUUAUGGGCACUAAUGGAAGGUGAUUCAAUGCAAGCUAGCGAGUGAGUUCCCUUGUCUCUAAAGUCGUGUGUAGGAGUGAGCAGGAUGCCAUAUGAAAGCAAAUUGACUCACAAGGCACUGAAUUGCAGCUAAACAUUUGUUUAGAUGUUCCUCAUUGUUCUCCAUCUCCCCAAACUCUGGAAAACACCAUUUCUACAGGUUACAGAGUAGCUCAAUUUGAUUCUGUCAACCAACACAGGGAAGAAACAAAGGAUUGCUCAUCCCCAGCAGUCCCAGCUGCUGGGAGACCGAGCCCAUGAUCUCUGGCUUAUCCUCACUCCUGGUCUCUGGAGACCCCCAAGAAGUAGCUACACCAACAGCAGCUUGAUACAUCAUCUUGGAAAAUGGGCCAUUGCAGGAGUUGGAGUAUCAGCAGGAAAAAAUGGUGCAAGAUCAAGCAAGAAAGAGAUCAAGAGACCUCUGACAACGACUAAAGUCUUUCAGUGACAAAAAAUGGGGCGACAACUUCCAUUUCACAUUGUAUUUCUCUUGUCAGCUUGUCGGAGACCAAAAAUUUAUUACCUCACUCACUUUUAGCAAAAUGCGUUCCUGCUGAUUUUUAUGACUAAAGAGAAAGAGAAGAGUAAAGGUUGGGUAGAAAUGCUGAAGGGAAGGAUAUGGACUGGAAUACCUAAUCUCAUAAAGUAAGAUACUUUGGCAAGGACUGCUCAGGACAAUAACUCUAUGCCAGAGAUGGACUGAAAUCAGCUCACUUCAUCCUCCUGCCUCAUCUCUCUCUCCUCCAAUUCACCCUCCAUUCAGCCACUAAAGAGAUUUUCCUAAAGCUCUGGUCUAGUCAUGUCACCAACCUUAUCCAGUAAACUCCAGUGACUUCCUAUCAUUUCUAAGAUCAAAUACAAAAUCUUCUGCUUGGUGUUCAAAAUCCUUCCUAAUCUAGCCCCCUCCUACCUUUCCAUCUUCGUACAACAUGUCCUUUUUGAUCCAGUGACACCAACAUCCAGUGUGUACCACGAACAAGACACUCCAUCUCUCAACUCCAAGCAUUUUCACCUGGAAUAUACCUGGAAUGUUCUCUCUCUUCAAUUCUGCCCAUUGACCUCCCCUGGCUUCUUUUAAGUCCCAACUAAACUCCCAGCUUUUACCAGAA